GAGGACACGGAACUAACUGUUGGAGAUCAUUCUUUGCUCACACUUAGGAUGAUGUUUACAGAACAUCCCAGCACAGAAGUUAGUCAUCAUAGAGAGCCUCUUGAAGCUGAGAAAUAAGGAUAAUUCUUCAUCUUUAUCAACUUCCACUUCCCACUUUUUUCUGGCCGAUGUUUGUGUUUCUACAUAGUAAAUUCACUUAAAAUUGCUCAGAAUGUGGAAGACUAUUAUCGAACUGCUACACAGAAAAGAACCCAUGAAAAGACAAAACUCUUUUGAAAAUAUAAGAGAAACCUUAUAACCCCG